UAUGGAACCACCAAGUCAUGUAGGUGUUGCUGGCACAGCCCACGCAGCCCAAAAUAAAUGGGCAGAUUAGAGAAGCAUUUCCUCUCUGAUCCCCUGGGAUUCAGAAAAUGAAGAGUGUGAACCAGUGAAGUUGGUAGCCUUGGAGAAGGAAUGGAAGACUCCAUCUGCACCCCAGAUUUGCAGGAGUGUGCUGGGUGCAGCUGGGAUGCACCUAGGUGUCUGCCGGGUGACAUUCAAACAUAAUCCAGGUAGAAGUCCCUUCCGGUACAAGACAUGCAGCCAUCUCUACGGCUUUGUGUUCUUCCUUCUCUGCUGCCAAAUCUGGCAGAGGUGAGGAAGCCUGGAGACAUUCUCCCCCAGUGUGCAGUACACGGAACCAACAGCACCCAGACCUGGCAGAGAAGACAGGCAGUGCCCAGGGAAGCCGUGCACUGGGGGGUGGGAAGGACCCUGACCCUUGCUGGACUCCCCGUGUUCCUCUUCCUGUGUUCUUCACUAGUCAGUGAGGGACCACGGACUUCGAAGUCAGACCUGGGUUCAAAUCCAGCUCCCCUUUCUAGUUGUGGGGUGGGAAGAGGCUCCUUCUGCUCCAUAAGCCCAUUUCCUCACUUCCAGUGGGGUUAAUAAUACCUGUGUAAAGGGUUGAUGAGAAGAUAAACAGUUACACAUGGAGAGUCCCUGACACAAAACUUAGUACCACUGGACACAGUCCAUACAUUCAUUCAGCAAACAUCUGGCAAUGUGCUAGAGCUGGGACAAAAGAG
rnacentral:lncRNA from 1 species